GAGUAAUUCAUUUUGCUCCUGCUUUUGUGUUCCCUUCAGAAUCUCUUUCGCCUCCUUUUCUGACUUUCCAGAAAACACCAGCCUCCACAAACAAGUAUUGUAUUGAUUGCUUAUAUGACAUUCUGUCUGCCUCCAUAGAAGAUAUGCCUGAAGAACCUCCAUUGAUGCACAGCUGAUAACUCGUGAAUGGAAUGAUGGAGGCACAGUUAACUCCUUUCGAGAAAAGAACUCUUUCCAUUUGAUUACAUAUGUAGAUGAGAAGAAAG
rnacentral:misc_RNA from 1 species